AGAACGAACGCUGGCGGCGUGCUUAACACAUGCAAGUCGAACGCGAAAGGGACUUCGGUCCUGAGUAAAGUGGCGCACGGGUGAGUAACGCGUAGAUAACCUGUCUUCAUGUCUGGAAUAAUACGCCGAAAGGGGUACUAAUACCGGAUAUUCUUGCUUUUCAUAAGUUAUGCAAGCAAAGGUGGCCUCUGCAUAUGCUACUGCAUGAAGAGGGGUCUGCGUACCAUUAGCUAGUAGGUGGGGUAAUGGCCUACCUAGGCGACGAUGGUUAGCGGGUCUGAGAGGAUGAUCCGCCACACUGGCACUGGAACACGGGCCAGACUCCUACGGGAGGCAGCAGUGAGGAAUAUUGCGCAAUGGGGGAAACCCUGACGCAGCGACGCCGCGUGAAGUGAGGAAGGCCUUCGGGUCGUAAAGCUCUGUCAAGAGGAAAGAAGUGUACAAUGGCUAAUACCCGUUGUAUUUGACGGUACCUCUAAAGGAAGCACCGGCUAACUCCGUGCCAGCCGCCGC
rnacentral:rRNA from 1 species